rnacentral:rRNA from 1 species
CCUACGGGUGGCAGCAGUGAGGAAUAUUGGUCAAUGGGCGCGAGCCUGAACCAGCCAAGUAGCGUGAAGGAUGACUGCCCUACGGGUUGUAAACCUCUUUUAUCAAGGAACAAAGUGAGGCACGUGUCCCUUUUUGGAUGUACCUUAUGAAUAAGGCUCGGCUAACUACGUGCCAGCCGCCGCGGUAAUACGGAGGAUGCGAGCGUUAUCCGGAUUUAUUGGGUUUAAAGGGUGCGUAGGCGGAAUGCGAAGUCAGCGGUAAAAUGGCGGGGCGCAACCCCGCCUCGCCGUUGAAACUGGCGUUCUUGAGUGGGCGAGAAGAAUGCGGAAUGCGUGGUGGAGCGGUGAAAUGCAGAGAUAUCACGAAGAACUCCGAUUGCGAAGGCAGCAUACCGGCGCCCAACUGACGCUGAAGCACGAAAGCGUGGGUAUCGAACAGGAUUAGAUACCCGAGUAGUC